ensembl:lncRNA
GUGUGGUCACAGGACUAACUUCUGUCCGCUGAACUAUGAAUGAAAGUGUGUGGGGCAUGCUGAAGUGCCACUUACUGGAAGAUGUGCCACUUUCCGCCCUUCUACCUUUAUUCCUUCUUCAAACCUUCUCAGUGGUUUGAUGGCAAAGUCCUUGCAGUCAUCAUGAAUCAUGUAAUCAUAUUGAGGAUAGGGGUAGCGGAGAAGAAAGAAUGGAGGCUGAAUCAUGGAGAGCCACCAUGCAACUUUAGACUACCUACAGCUUGACUUUCAUUAUAUGAGAGAAUUAACCCAUUAUCUUCCACGUCUUUGCUACGUGCAGGUAAAUGCUAUUCCUAAAUCACACAGCGCCCCUUUCAAUCACGUAAACAAUACACCAGUCCCACUGAGUACUUGCUGUGGUCCCCAUCAUGUGCUGUGGACUGUCACUGCAGUGUCCUUGCCCACUACCACAGUGGCUGUCCUUUCUACAUGGGUCAGUGCAACCAGGUAGGUGGCCUUGUACAUUGACUCCUCAUCCUUUCUUUCCCAACUGGUGACCUCAGUCCACAGGACUAGUAGAACAAACUUUAAAUUUUCAUUUUUGGCUCAGAUCAUCUAGGAAAAUCAGUCUACACAAAUACACGAACACACACACACAGAGACACACACACACACACACACCCAGUACAUACAGAGAACCAAAUGACUUUUCAGAAUCCACAAAUCUUCCCAUACUUGAAGCAAUCCUUACUUCAGUCUGAAGAGUUUUCCAAAAUAACCCUUCAGCCCCUUUUAAGAGAAGGCCUAUCUAAUGAAAAAUGUAACUGUUGUAUGGAAUAAAAAAUUGCAGACUUAAUAAUUCAAAACUGCUACUAAAUCAAUGUACUGCUUGUUGGUUUGUCAAUACAGCUUUCUCAAUUAGACAAUUUUAUUACAGUGAUGAAUACCAAUGGCAUAAUUGAGAGACUGCUGUUCUAAAUUAUGGUCUGUUUAGCCUAACAAUCCAUAUUUGCUACUGAAUAAAUGUGAUGACUAUAGCCUUCUGAAGAUGAAUGGUCCUCUACUGGCAGCUGACCUGUCCCUGGUGACGACUGGGCAGGAAUGAUUCUCAUCAUAUUCCUUCAUGGGAUCCUUCUGGCUGACCAUUGUAAUGGCACUUCGCCUCCCUUCCCAGUGCCCUCUCCUACACCAGGAACAGCUACCCUGCUGGUGAUGGGUGUUGUAGAUAGUGCCUUUCAAGUAAGUUCCGAGUUCCACACCAAAUCCCACUUUUCCUGGUAAAUAAAAACAGCACGAGGUGAGGCACACGGGCUUUUUUCCCCAGCACUUAGGGAGAUCAAGGCAGGAGGAUCGCUUGAGGCCAGGAGUAAUAGAGCCUGGGCCGGGUGCGGUGGCUAACAUCUGUAAUUCCAGCACUUUGGCAGGCCGAGAUGGGUGGAUCACCUGGGGUCAGGGGUUCAAGACUAGGCUGGCUAACAUGGCAAAACCCGUCUCUGCUAAAAAUACAAAAAUUAGUCAGGUGUGGUGAUGCGUGCCUGUAGUCCCAGCUACUUGGGAGGCUGAGGCAGGAGAAUCGCUUGAACCUGAGAGGAGGAGGUUGCAGUGAACCAAGAUUGCACCAUUGUAUUCCAGCCUGGGUAACAGAGUGAGGCUCUGUCUCAAAAAGAAAAAACAAAAAACAAAAAAAA